AUGUAUUUGCGGCCAUCUGGUCGAUGCACGUUUGGACGCUCACGUUUUCGAAUUCAUCUUUCUGAGAAAUCAUUGUCAGUCUUGCGAAAGUGAUUGUGAGUCUCUAUUUAAUCAGCCGAAUACGAAGUUGAUUCAGUCUUGAAACACUUUAGGAAUAGAGAAGAAACUGAGAAAGAUCCAACACAAUGCUGUUCAAGUACACCCUGGUAUUGCUUGUCUGCGUAAUCCUGAUUGGCACAUCCGAUGCAUGGUUAUUCCGCAGAAGAAAUAAGGAGAAGCUUGUGUAUACGAGCGGGGGGGUGAAAAUCAAGUUAGUAGUAAAGAGACCAUCGAGUCUUGUCAGACCGGAAAAGGAACUAGGUUGUAAGGAUAUCGAGGGUUGCGGAGGGAUACGGGAUGCACCUAGCGGUAUAGGAAAAGCUGGUGGAGCUGCCGCCGCAGGGAUUGCGGACGGAAGUGCCGACAUGAGAGAUGCUAUGGCAGCUGCUGGAGUUGGAGUUACUUAAAAUGUCGAUCAUUUAAAAUCUACAAACACAAUGAAUACCGCCGGAGAAAAAAGGAUUUUAGCUGGCUUGGAAGAAUAUGUAUAGAUUAUGAAGUAUAUUAUUUUAACAAUAAAUUUAUUUCUCAAAGAAACAA